GCCAGUCAGUCAUUCUCAGCACUCUAUCUUCCUCGGAGAAUUGUCGUAAGGACAAAGUGGAGGCAAGGAGAAUGUCGUGGAAAGCCGGGGGGGGGUCCCCUUUGAUUACCAAAAAGACUGCGCUGGGGAUCAUGGGAACUGCAUGAAUAAAAGCCAUCUUCGAUGGGGCCCAUAGUAAGAACGUACUUUGCAUAAACAGCUAAGAUGGAGAAUAAACAUUCUGUGGAGUAUAUUGCUAACAAUGCUUUGUUCAGAACCCUUCCAGGACUUGUUCGUGCAUUCCAUGAGCUGUUCUUCAACUGUUUCAAACAGCUGCCUGCAGAGAAAUCAAUCUCUCUCUCUGUUUCUUCUUACUAAUAUGGAAUUUCCUCCUUUUGAAAUGAUUCCAUUCUAGAAUCCACAACAGGACAAAUACAGUCCUAGGUUGGUUACAGGUUUCCUUGCUAAAAUAAACAGGAAUGGUAUUCCAGUGUACACGUUUGUGGAAUAAAUAUUGGCAUAAUUUUUGAAUGGAAUAAAAAUGUUUGUCUUUAAGA